CCUCGGGGCGCAGCAGUGGGGAAUAUUGGACAAUGGGGGGAACCCUGAUCCAGCGACGCCGCGUGAGUGAAGAAGUAUUUCGGUAUGUAAAGCUCUAUCAGCAGGGAAGAAAGAAAUGACGGUACCUGACUAAGAAGCCCCGGCUAACUACGUGCCAGCAGCCGCGGUAAUACGUAGGGGGCAAGCGUUAUCCGGAUUUACUGGGUGUAAAGGGAGCGUAGACGGCAGUGCAAGUCUAAAGUGAAAGGCGGGGGCCCAACCCCCGGACUGCUUUGGAAACUGUGCUGCUGGAGUGCAGGAGAGGG
rnacentral:rRNA from 1 species